rnacentral:rRNA from 1 species
GUAUAAGAGACAGCAGUAGCCGCGGUAAUACAGAGGGUGCGAGCGUUAAUCGGAUUUACUGGGCGUAAAGCGUGCGUAGGCGGCUUCUUAAGUCGGAUGUGAAAUCCCUGAGCUUAACUUAGGAAUUGCAUUCGAUACUGGGAAGCUAGAGUAUGGGAGAGGAUGGUAGAAUUCCAGGUGUAGCGGUGAAAUGCGUAGAGAUCUGGAGGAAUACCGAUGGCGAAGGCAGCCAUCUGGCCUAAUACUGACGCUGAGGUACGAAAGCAUGGGGAGCAAACAGGAUUAGAUACCCCUGUAGUCCCUGUCUCUUAUAC